AUGCGAUAAGUAAUGUGAAUUGCAGAAUUCAGUGAAUCAUCGAAUCUUUGAACGCACCUUGCGCCCUUUGGUAUUCCGAAGGGCAUGCCUGUUUGAGUGUCAUGUUAAUCUCAAUACCCUUGUUUUCUUAAUUGAUGACUUGGAGAUUGGACUUGGAGGUUCUUGCUGGCCCCAUUUGUGGUCGGCUCCUCUUAAAUAUAUUAGCUGGACUUUGGUUCGCGUGAAGAUGUAAUAGUUUAUUCAUCAUUAGCGCUUGCCUAACGGGUCUGCUUCUAAUCGUCUUCGGACAAGGAUUAACUUCCUUCUUGACUCUUUGACCUCAAAUCAGGUAGGACUACCCGCUGAACUUAAGCAUAU
rnacentral:rRNA from 1 species